rnacentral:rRNA from 1 species
GUUUGAUCCUGGCUCAAGAUUAUCUUUGGCGGUACGUCUAAUACAUGCAAGUCGAACGGAGCACUUGUGCUCAGUGGCGAACGGGUGAGUAACACGUAGGUAACCUGCCCUUAAGACGAGGAUAACCAUUGGAAACGAUGGCUAAUACUGGAUUGAAAGCACACUCGGCAUCGAGACUGUUUAAAAGAUGCGAUUCGCAUCGCUUAAGGAGGGGCCUGCGGCGCAUUAGUUAGUUGGUAGGGUAAUGGCCUACCAAGACAAUGAUGCGUAGCUGGACUGAGAGGUUGAACAGCCACACUGGGACUGAGACACGGCCCAGACUCCUACGGGAGGCAGCAGUGAGGAAUAUUGGACAAUGGAUGGAAAUCUGAUCCAGCCAUGCCGCGUGCAGGAAGACGGCCUUAUGGGUUGUAAACUGCUUUUAUACGGGAGCAAUAAGGGUUACGAGUAAUCCGAUGAGAGUACUGUAUGAAUAAGGAUCGGCUAACUCCGUGCCAGCAGCCGCGGUAAUACGGAGGAUCCGAGCGUUAUCCGGAAUUAUUGGGUUUAAAGGGUGCGUAGGCGGCCAUUUAAGUCAGCGGUGAAAUUUUGCAGCUUAACUGUAACAGUGCCGUUGAUACUGUUUGGCUAGGAUUUGGUUGUAGUGUGCGGAAUGUGUGGUGUAGCGGUGAAAUGCUUAGAUAUCACACAGAACACCGAUUGCGAAGGCAGCACACUAAGUCAUUAUUGACGCUGAGGCACGAAAGUGUGGGGAUCAAAGGGGAUUAGAUACCCUGGUAGUCCACACUGUAAACGAUGAUAACUCGCUGUCGGCGAUACACAGUCGGUGGCCAAGCGAAAGCAUUAAGUUAUCCACCUGGGGAGUACGACCGCAAGGUUGAAACUCAAAGGAAUUGACGGGGGCCCGCACAAGCGGAGGAACAUGUGGUUUAAUUCGAUGAUACGCGAGGAACCUUACCCGGGCUCGAACGGUGCAUGAAUAUACGAGAGAUUGUAUAGUCCUUCGGGACAUGUAUCGAGGUGCUGCAUGGUUGUCGUCAGCUCGUGCCGUGAGGUGUCGGCUUAAGUGCCAUAACGAGCGCAACCCUUGUCAUUAGUUGCCAUCAGGUCAAGCUGGGGACUUUAAUGAGACUGCCACCGUAAGGUGUGAGGAAGGGGGGGAUGACGUCAAAUCAGCACGGCCCUUAUGUCCGGGGCGACACACGUGUUACAAUGGGAGGUACAGAGGGCAGCUAUCCGGUGACGGAAUGCUAAUCUCCAAAACCUUUCUCAGUUCGGAUUGGAGUCUGCAACUCGACUCCAUGAAGGUGGAUUCGCUAGUAAUCGCGCAUCAGCCAUGGCGCGGUGAAUACGUUCCCGGGCCUUGCACACACCGCCCGUCA